rnacentral:rRNA from 1 species
GAUGAACGCUGGCGGCGUGCCUAAUACAUGCAAGUCGAGCGAACGGACGAGAAGCUUGCUUCUCUGAUGUUAGCGGCGGACGGGUGAGUAACACGUGGAUAACCUACCUAUAAGACUGGGAUAACUUCGGGAAACCGGAGCUAAUACCGGAUAAUAUUUUGAACCGCAUGGUUCAAAAGUGAAAGACGGUCUUGCUGUCACUUAUAGAUGGAUCCGCGCUGCAUUAGCUAGUUGGUGAGGUAACGGCUUACCAAGGCAACGAUGCAUAGCCGACCUGAGAGGGUGACCGGCCACACUGGAACUGAGACACGGUCCAGACUCCUACGGGAGGCAGCAGUAGGGAAUCUUCCGCAAUGGGCGAAAGCCUGACGGAGCAACGCCGCGUGAGUGAUGAAGGUCUUCGGAUCGUAAAACUCUGUUAUUAGGGAAGAACAUAUGUGUAAGUAACUGUGCACAUCUUGACGGUACCUAAUCAGAAAGCCACGGCUAACUACGUG